AGCUGUCAGAGACUCACCCAAUGCCUUGGGAUGACUUUUAUGCAGUUGAAGGUCCAAAGCCAUUUGCAACUUGGAAGAGCUGUUCUCCUUCAUCAACACUUACGGUGAUUCAAACCAGGCGAGGUGAAGUUCUGUGCCCGAAAUUCACAUGCUGAAUACCUCAAGGAUUACCAUGGAAUUUUGAACAGAUCUAACCAUUAUGGAGAUGAAUUUAGAACUAUGCCCAAGGAGCAAUCACAGUGUACAUACCCUUUGAUCUGUCAAUACCACUACUAGGUCUGUAUCCCAAAGAGAUCAUAAAAAGGGAAAAAACCUACAUAUACAAAAAUAUUUAUGGCAGCUCUUUUUGUGGGGACA
rnacentral:lncRNA from 1 species